rnacentral:misc_RNA from 1 species
GAUGAAGAACGUAGCGAAAUGCGAUAAGUAAUGUGAAUUGCAGAAUUCAGUGAAUCAUCGAAUCUUUGAACGCACAUUGCGCCCGGUAGUAUUCUGCCGGGCAUGCCUGUUCGAGCGUCAUUUCAACCAUCAAGCCCCAGCGCUUGUGUUGGGGGCCUGCGGCUGCCGCAGCCCCCUAAAAGCAGUGGCGGGCUCGCUAUCACACCGAGUGCAGUAGUUCAUCUUCUCUCCGGUCUUGUGAGGCGGGUUCCGGCCGUGAAACACCCCACUACAUUCAAGGUUGACCUCGGAUCAGGUAGGAAUACCCACUGAACUUAAGCAUAUCAAUAAGCGGAGGA